rnacentral:rRNA from 1 species
AACGAACGCUGGCGGCAGGCUUAACACAUGCAAGUCGAGCGCGUAGCAAUACGAGCGGCAGACGGGUGAGUAACACGUGGGAAUCUACCCAUCACUAGGGAAUAACUCAGGGAAACUUGUGCUAAUACUCUAUACGACCGAGAGGUGAAAGAGUUAUCGGUGAUGGAUGAGCCCGCGUUGGAUUAGCUAGUUGGUGGGGUAAAGGCCUACCAAGGCGACGAUCCAUAGCUGGUCUGAGAGGAUGAUCAGCCACACUGGGACUGAGACACGGCCCAGACUCCUACGGGAGGCAGCAGUGGGGAAUAUUGCGCAAUGGGCGAAAGCCUGACGCAGCCAUGCCGCGUGAAUGAUGAAGGUCUUAGGAUUGUAAAAUUCUUUCGCCGGGGACGAUAAUGACGGUACCCGGAGAAGAAGCCCCGGCUAACUUCGUGCCAGCCGCCGCAGUAAUAC